UCAUUGCACACACACGAGUAGUUGCUAGCAAACCACGGCCCCUUGCGAAUUUUGUGAAUGUCCCCCCCCCCUGUUGGUGGUCGGGCGGGGCACCGGGUGCGAGAGCGCCGGGUGCUCCGGCCGGUCGGCAGCCAGCCCAGCCCCAAGUCCCCCUCCCGAGCCCCGGGGGCCCCCGCAUGUUUCGUUGGGGGAUUUGGUGUUGUGUUGUGUUUCCAAACCGCCGAUGGCGCAAUGCAUCAACACUUUCGAAAUAUGACUGAGUAUAUAAUGAGAAUCGACGCCGGGUGGCUGGCGAGAGCCGCCGUCCGGCGCCCGAGUUGUCGUGAUAAAACGAAAACAACUCUCAGCAACGGAUAUCUUGGCUCCUGCAACGAUGAAAAACGCAGCGAAAUGCGAUACGUAGUGUGAAUUGCAAAAUUCCGCGAAUCAUCGAGUCUUUGAACGCAAGUUGCGCCCGAGGCUUGACCAAGGGCAUUUCUGCCAGAGCGUCACCGCGACACCCACCGACCCACUCCGUGCGGGAGUGGGCCGAGUGAAAGUGGCCGUCCCAGUGGAUGGAUGGAUGGAUGAAAAUGGGGGCCUGAUGAAUCAAGCAGGCCCCUCUCCCUCUCCCUCUCCCUCCAAUGGCUGGGUUGGCUGAAAUGGAGGGAAUUUGGCCGCCGCGGUGACACCAGCCCGCGAUCAGGUGAUCCGAGUCUUUCUUCUCGGAACUCAAUGUGCGUCGGCUGUGUGUCCCCCAGUUUGUUGGAUUCACGAAGACAGGUCAUACACACACCCCCCGGUGCGUGCACU
rnacentral:rRNA from 1 species